AGUUCUACUAAGGCUGCCCUUGCUUAUUAUUUGGUUGAGAUAACCAACUAGCAGUCCUACCAUUUCCCUGAUCUUGUACGCACGUGGCAAUUAAUUUUCUCUCAACUAAAAUGAAAUGAGAUUCCUUCUUACAGAUAAUGCAUUGGUGCUCAUACUAUUCUCUCCUUUCUGUUGUUCUAUUUCUGUUAUUUCUUAAACUAGGGGAUGGUUUAACAUUAAAGAAGAAAGUGAGACCUGUGUUGAGAUUUUAGCUCAUCUGUCCAAUAAAGCCUGCUUCAAAGCCUCUGAGGCUGCAAGUGCAUUACCACCCAUGCUUGAAAUCCACCUACUCGAUAAAUGUGUUGCAUGGCCGAAAUGUUUCAGGGUCUCACCGCCUACAGCCGCUAGCAUUGCUCUAUAUUUCUUUCCAGCAUGUGAAAGGUGAUCGGUAGUUGAAUUUAGCAUGCUUUGUGGCAAUCUUUUUUUUUAACCUUACUGGCUUUGUUUUGAAGGGAUGAAAGACUUUUCGAUAUUCUACUUGAUGAGGUUAUCGAGAGAGAUCUUGCUCUGAAGACUCUGAUCGAUAAUCUGGAACUAUUAAUCUUUCCAUCUCUUGAAUUGCCUUUACAAAAUUGGAGAUACAAGAGCAAGUACUUUUUAUGGGGAGUGUUUAGCCAGAAGCAGCAGUCUCGUUCAUCUACAGAGACUACCUCUCCUAUUCAACAACACAGCAGCACCAAGCAUUCUCCACUUUCUGAGCCUACAGUUGAAGCAAACAACAAACUUUUGGUUCAUCUGGAAUCUACAGACCAUUUGAGUCCUCCAAGUCAACCUAACCAAAGUCCUAUGAGUCUGAACAGUAGCCAAGCAUCUAAUGUGCUCCCCUCUAAGCAUAGCACUCCAGAUUCCCUACCUUCUCCUUGCAUUGAGCUCAACAGGCUGUCUCAGAUGGUGGAACAAGAUCAUCGGCUGGUCACUAAGAACUGUAAGUGUGAAGAACAAAAUUUUGAAGGUUCAAGCAUCAAAUGUUGAUUCAAGACAAUAAGAAAAACACUGUUUGGCAGAAGUGGUGUAGCCACACUAUUCGGGACAUUCACAUAGGUUUGGGCCCCUCCACAUCGAAAGACUGCAACAAUUUAUCACUCUGUGCCAAGUUUUUGAAACCUCAAAAAGGUUUGUUUCAUAUCAUGUGUAUAAAUUUUUUGUUUGCCCAAAUAGUGUUGCUGGUCGGAUAGAUGUUCCCAUGCAUACAGGGUAGAUUUGCUUGU